AACGAACGCUGGCGGCAGGCCUAACACAUGCAAGUCGAGCGAAGCCUUCGGGCUUAGCGGCGGACGGGUGAGUAACGCGUGGGAACGUGCCCUUUGGUACGGAAUAGCCCCGGGAAACUGGGAGUAAUACCGUAUGUGGUCGAGAGACGAAAGAUUUAUCGCCAAAGGAUCGGCCCGCGUUGGAUUAGGUAGUUGGUGGGGUAAUGGCCUACCAAGCCGACGAUCCAUAGCUGGUUUGAGAGGAUGAUCAGCCACACUGGGACUGGGACACGGGCCCAACUCCUGCGGGAGGCAGCAGUGGGGAAUCUUAGACAAUGGGGGAAAACCGGAUCUAGCCAUGCCGCGUGAUCGAUGAAGGCCUUAGGGUUGUAAAGAUCUUUCAGUGGGGAAGAUCAUGACUGUACCCACAGAAGAAGCCCCGGCUAACUCCGUGCCAGCAGCCGCGGUAAGAC
rnacentral:rRNA from 1 species